UACGAAGGGUGCAAACGUUGCUCGGAAUCAUUGGGCGUAAAGCGCACGUAGGCGGCUUCCUAAGUCGGAUGUGAAAUCCCUCGGCUCAACCGAGGACGUGCAUCCGAAACUGGGAGCUCGAGUAUGGAAGAGGGUCGCGGAAUUCUCGGUGUAGAGGUGAAAUUCGUAGAUAUCGGGAGGAACACCAGUGGCGAAGGCGGCGACCUGGGCCAAUACUGACGCUGAGGUGCGAAAGCGUGGGGAGCAAACAGG
rnacentral:rRNA from 1 species